rnacentral:rRNA from 1 species
AUAUCAAUAAGCGGAGGAAAAGAAACCAACAGGGAUUGCCUCAGUAACGGCGAGUGAAGCGGCAAAAGCUCAAAUUUGAAAUCUAGCACCUUCGGUGUUCGAGUUGUAAUUUGAAGAUGGUAACCUUGGGUUUGGCUCUUGUCUAUGUUCCUUGGAACAGGACGUCAUAGAGGGUGAGAAUCCCGUCUGAUGAGAUGCCCAUUCCUAUGUAAGGUGCUAUCGAAGAGUCGAGUUGUUUGGGAAUGCAGCUCUAAGUGGGUGGUAAAUUCCAUCUAAAGCUAAAUAUUGGCGAGAGACCGAUAGCGAACAAGUACAGUGAUGGAAAGAUGAAAAGAACUUUGAAAAGAGAGUGAAAAAGUACGUGAAAUUGUUGAAAGGGAAGGGCAUUAGAUCAGACUUGGUGUUUUACGAUUAUCUUCUCUUCUUGAGUUGUGCACUCGUAUUUCACUGGGCCAGCAUCGAUUCGGAUGGUAAGAUAAUGACAGUUGAACGUGGCUCCAUUCGUGGAGUGUUAUAGCUUCUGUUGAUAUUGCCUGUCUGGAUCGAGGGCUGCGUCUUUUGACUAGGAUGCUGGCGUAAUGAUCUAAUGCCGCCCGUCUU